rnacentral:misc_RNA from 1 species
GUAGGUAAACCUGCGGAAGGAUCAUUAUCGUAGGGCUUCGGCCCUAUCGAGAUAGAACCCUUGCCUUUUUGAGUACCUUUCGUUUCCUCGGCAGCUUCGGCUGCCAAUAGGAACCCCAAAAAACACUUUGCAGUACCUGUAACAGUCUAAACAAACAAACAAAAAUUAAAACUUUCAACAACGGAUCUCUUAGUUCUA